UGGAGUAACGGAGCACAAAAUACACGUCCUCCUGCUGCGACUAUAUGCUAAAUAUAGUCGCAGCAGGAGGACGUGUAUUUUGUGCUCCGUUACUCCA